UACGGAGGGUGCAAGCGUUAUCCGGAUUUACUGGGUUUAAAGGGUGUGUAGGCGGACUUUUAAGUCAGCGGUGAAAUCUCCGGGCUCAACCCGGAAACUGCCAUUGAUACUAUUGGUCUUGAAUGUUGUUGAGGUGGGCGGAACGGGUCAUGUAGCGGUGAAAUGCAUAGAUAUUCGGAGGAACACCAGAAGCGAAGGCGGCCAACUGGCCCGAUACUGACGCUGAGGCGCGAAAGCGUGGGGAGCAAACAGG
rnacentral:rRNA from 1 species